rnacentral:rRNA from 1 species
GACGGAGGAUGCAAGCGUUAUCCGGAAUGAUUGGGCGUAAAGCGUCCGCAGGUGGCAGUUCAAGUCUGCUGUCAAAGACCGGGGCUUAACUUCGGAAAGGCAGUGGAAACUGAACAGCUAGAGUAUGGUAGGGGCAAAGGGAAUUCCUGGUGUAGCGGUGAAAUGCGUAGAGAUCAGGAAGAACAUCGGUGGCGAAGGCGCUCUGCUGGACCAUAACUGACACUCAGGGACGAAAGCUAGGGGAGCGAACAGG